ensembl:ncRNA F25G6.16 ncRNA
CCAUACUUCACAGACACACAAGAAAUUUGAGACAAAAUGUGGAGGUCAGAUACCGGAAUUUAUGGACGUUGUUUUUUUGGAAAAAGAAGGUGGAUAAUCUUUUGGUUGCAGAUGUUUGAUUGAGAUGUUUCAUUGGAAUGGUUAAGUUCA